AUGACUUUGAUCUGCGUCCUCAUCUGGACUCUCCUCUGCUGCUGCUUCAAAGAGUCCAGAGGUCAGUUCACAGUGACUCAGCCUGCAGCAGUGAGAGCUGAUCUGGGAGGAUCUGUUACCAUCAGAUGUAAAACCAGUCCAAGUGUUUACAACAAAGAACGUUUAGCCUGGUACCAAGAGAAGAGAAAAACUGGGAAAGCUCCUAAACUCCUGAUAUAUUUGGCUAGAAUUCGUCAGUCUGGAAUUCCAACUCGUUUCAGUGGAAGUAUUCCUGGUUCUGAAUUCGCUCUGAACAUCAGUGGAGUUCAGGCUGAAGAUACAGGAGUUUAUUACUGUCAGCAGAGUUACAACUACCCACUGUGGUACACGUUUGGUGAAGGAACCAGAUUGGAUGUUGGAAGUGAUGCUCGUCCCACCCUGACAGUGCUGCCCCCCUCCAGUGAGGAGCUGCAGCAGGGGAAGGCCACCCUCAUGUGUCUGGCCAACAAGGGCUUCCCCUCAGACUGGAGUCUGUCCUGGAAGGUGGACGGCAGCAGCAGCAGCAGCAGCUGGGAGGAGAACAAGAGCCGAGGAGUGCUGCAGAAGGACGGCCUCUACAGCUGGAGCAGCACCCUGAGGCUUCCUGCAGAGCAGUGGAGGAAGGUGGGCUCUGUGACCUGUGAGGCCACCCAGGGCUCCCAUUGUCCAGUAACAGAGACACUAAAGAGAGACCAGUGCUCCCAGUCCUGA